GACGAAGGAUGCAAGCGUUAUCCGGAUUCAUUGGGUUUAAAGGGCGCGUAGGCGGCCUUGUAAGUCCGUGGUGAAAUCUCUCGGCUUAACUGAGAAACUGCCAUUGAUACUGCAGGGCUUGAGUACAGUUGCCGUUGGCGGAAUAUGACAUGUAGUGGUGAAAUACAUAGAGAUGUCAUAGAACACCGAUUGCGAAGGCAGCUGACGAAACUGUAACUGACGCUGAGGCUCGAAAGUGUGGGGAUCAAACAGG
rnacentral:rRNA from 1 species